rnacentral:tRNA from 1 species
GUUUUUAUAGUUUAAUAAAAACAUUGGUUUUGUAAACCAAAAUUAAGUAUACUCACUUUAAAAACA